rnacentral:rRNA from 1 species
ACCGGGAUGAGCUCAAAUUUAAAAUCUGGCGUCUUUCAGGCGUCCGAGUUGUAAUCUAUAGAGGCGUUUUCCGCGCCGGACCGCGUCCAAGUCUCUUGGAAUAGAGUAUCAAAGAGGGUGACAAUCCCGUACUUGACGCGACAACCGGUGCUCUGUGAUACGUUCUCAAUGAGUCGAGUUGUUUGGGAAUGCAGCUCUAAAUGGGUGGUAAAUUCCAUCUAAGGCUAAAUAUUGGCGAGAGACCGAUAGCGAACAAGUACCGUGAGGGAAAGAUGAAAAGCACUUUGGAAAGAGAGUUAAACAGCACGUGAAAUUGUUAAAAGGGAAACGAUUGAAGUCAGUCGUGUGAAAGGUAUUCAGCCGUCUCUGGCGGUGUAUUUGCCUUUCACGGGUCAACAUCAGUUUGAUCCGGUAGAAAAAGGCGGGAGGAAGGUGGGCACCCUCGGGUGUGUUAUAGCCUCCUGUCAUAUGUGCCGGACCAGACUGAGGAACGCAGCUUGCCGCAAGGCCGGGG